rnacentral:rRNA from 14 species
GUACCGUGAGGGAAAGGUGAAAAGCACCCCGACAAGGGGAGUGAAAUAGUACCUGAAACCGAUUGCCUACAAACAGUGGGAGCCUGAAAUGGUGACCACGUACCUUUUGUAUAAUGGGUCAGCGACUUAGUGUGACGAGCAAGCUUAAGCCGGUAGGUGUAGGCGCAGCGAAAGCGAGUCUGAACAGGGCGUUCAGUUCGUCGCAUUAGACCCGAAACCAAGUGAUCUAGCCAUGAGCAGGCUGAAGGUAAGGUAACACUUACUGGAGGGCCGAACCCGCAUCUGUUGCAAUAGAUUGGGAUGACUUGUGGCUAGGGGUGAAAGGCCAAUCAAACUUGGAAAUAGCUGGUUCUCCGCGAAAUCUAUUUAGGUAGAGCGUCGACCGAAUACCCUCGGGGGUAGAGCACUGGAUGGGCUAGGGGGUCUCACCGACCUACCAAACCUAACCAAACUCCGAAUACCGAGGAGUACUAGUCGGCAGACACACGGCGGGUGCUAACGUCCGUCGUGAAAAGGGAAACAACCCUGACCAGCAGCUAAGGUCCCCAAGUCAUGGCUAAGUGGGAAAGGAUGUGAGGAUCCCAAAACAACCAGGAUGUUGGCUUAGAAGCAGCCAUCAUUUAAAGAAAGCGUAACAGCUCACUGGUCUAAAUAAGGGUUCCUGCGGCGAAAAUGUAACGGGGCUCAAGACGUGCACCGAAGCUUAGGGUGUGUAGCAAUACACGCGGUAGCGGAGCGUUCCGUAGGCUGAUGAAGCGG